rnacentral:rRNA from 1 species
UACGUAGGGCGCAAGCGUUAUCCGGAAUUAUUGGGCGUAAAGAGCUCGUAGGCGGUUUGUCGCGUCUGCUGUGAAAGCCCGGGGCUCAACUCCGGUUCUGCAGUGGGUACGGGCAGACUAGAGUGAUGUAGGGGAGACUGGAAUUCCUGGUGUAGCGGUGAAAUGCGCAGAUAUCAGGAGGAACACCGAUGGCGAAGGCAGGUCUCUGGGCAUUAACUGACGCUGAGGAGCGAAAGCAUGGGGAGCGAACAGG